GGGUGUGGGGUAUGAAGGUGGCCUGGCUGUCGCCUCAGUGGUCAUCAAAGUUGACUUGGCCCUUUUCGCUGGUUAGGCGGGUGUGCCUUCCUUCCUCAGCGCUCUACAUGCAUUCCUCCAAAGCACUUGCUCUGUUGGAAAGGCUGCCCUUCCCCAUGGAAGAUGACCAUUCUCCAGUCAAAGGUACGUGAGCAGCUGCGUUCCCCUGCUACAGCCUCCAAGCAAGCUCUUCAUUGUUGAGAUUGAUUAUGUAAACUAGUGAAAUCUAUAUACAUAUAUAUUAUAGGUAUGCAUCUAUCUCACAAAU
rnacentral:snRNA from 1 species